rnacentral:rRNA from 1 species
GAUGAACGCUGGCGGCGUGCUUAAUACAUGCAAGUCGAACGAAGAGUCUUUGUAGCAAUACGAGGACUUCUUAGUGGCGAACGGGUGCGUAACGCGUUGGUGACCUGCCCCGAAGUGUGGGAUAACAGUUCGAAAGGACUGCUAAUACCGCAUGUGGUCCUCCGGAUCAGAUGCCGGAUUUCUAAAGCAGUAAUGCGCUUCGGGAGGGACCUGCGUCCCAUCAGCUAGUUGGUGAGGUAAUGGCCCACCAAGGCUACGACGGGUAGGGGACCUGAGAGGGUGGUCCCCCACACUGGCACUGAAACACGGGCCAGACACCUACGGGUGGCAGCAGUAGGGAAUAUUGGGCAAUGGGCGAAAGCCUGACCCAGUAACGCCGCGUGCAUGAUGAAGGUCUUCGGAUCGUAAAAUGCUUUUCUGAGAGAUGAGAAAGGACAGUAUCUCAGGAAUAAGUCUCGGCUAACUACGUGCCAGCAGCCGCAGUAAAAC